AGAUGAAGCUAAUAAAUCGUAUAAAUUCGAUAAUAUGGUUCGAAAGUCUCUACCCUAUCGCCUUAAAUGAUAGGACUACGAUUAAAGAAAGU
rnacentral:ncRNA from 1 species